rnacentral:tRNA from 1 species
GCCAAUGUGAUGUAAUGGUUUGAGCAUUGGACUAUGACUCUGGAGAUCAGGGUUCAAUUCCUUGCAUGGCCA